rnacentral:lncRNA from 1 species
GCCUGCGACCUCGCCGACCCCAGCGUUGCCCCCUCCCUCGACCCCUCCUCGCCGAUCCCAGCUUCGCAGCCGUCGCUGCGGUGAAGGAGAAGGAGGGUGCGGGGGAGGCGGCGGCGGCGAAGGGGAAGGAGGGCGCGGGGGAGGCGGCGGCUGUGAAGGGGAAGGAGGGCGCGGGUGAGGCGGCUGGCGGCGUGGUUGUGACGGAUGCGCGCCAUGGGGUUCCCUGACGACGUGCGCUCGCUCCUGCACUUCCACCGCCCCUCCAAUCCUCUUCUCUGAAUGUGGAGGAUGAGGAUGAGGAUGAGAGGAAGGAGAAAGAGGAAGAAGAAUGGAAAAGAAAUAGUGUGAAAAAUAGAAAAGAAAAUAGUGUAAAUUCGAUCAAAAUAGUGCAAUUUUGUUCUAAAUAGUGUAAUUUUAUUUUAAAGAGUGUAAUUUUUUUUUUAAAGAGUGCAAUUUUUAUUUAAACUGGUGCAAAAAAUUUUAAAACAGUGCAAUUUUUUUUUAAACAGUGUAAUUUCAUCUUCUUCAUUUUUCUUCCAUUUUUUGUCUUUAUUUUUUAUUAUUUUUUUCUACAAUUUUUUUUUCAUGCCUCUCUGCCAACGACCACUGCGCCGGCGAUGACGUCACUAAGGUCUUCCCGCUUC